AGAGACUACUGAAAAUGAAGAUGACUCGAACGAUAAUGUCGUUAUGACUAACACUAAUGAACUACUAUGAGUUGGACUAGCCUAUUUACAAAUCAAUCCUACCAUCAUUUGAGUCCCAAUCCCAUUAGUUAACAUUUUCAGAAAGACGACACUCAUGUGAUUAAUGCAGCUGAGUAAAGCUGAAGAAUGGAUUAUAUGUCGCUGAAGGGCUAAAAUUAGAAGGAGUCCUCAAGAUUCUACGAAUAACAGGGAAGAUGCAAGUGCUCUCACUCAACCAGCAUGGGAUUCUGAAAAAAAAACGGAGAAAAGAUCCACGGAAGAUGCUUCUCUAUACUAAUUGUAUUAGUAAAAUUAUUCAUUAUAAUAUUUUAACUACAGCCUUAAUUUAUGCGUGGUGAGCCUGUUGUGUCGUUGUAAUUUAAGAAUGGAAACAUGUAUGAAAGUUUUUUUUUUUGUUAUUAAUUUGAUUUAUUUACCUACUAUGAAUGUCGACUCCGUAUGUUGGUUAAUAUUCUUACCUCAGCAAUUAAUUGUGUUAGCUUGUGUAUUAUGUUUUUUUUUAGGUAGGUAAUGCUCACUAAUUAAAUUCUCUUUAUGAUAUUCAGUAUGGCCGAUGUGGAAUAGGGGCAUUCCAAUAACAGGACGGCCGUCUGUUAGCUAAACUAUUCCUUUGCUAAAAAUUGUUGUUAUUUUCCAAUAUUUUUAAAUAUGUUAUAAUUAUUUUGUGCAUUUUUGUCGCUUACAACACAUGAUUAAAGACGAUACUGGCAACACAGGAUUAAAAGAAGUAGGGUUCAGAAAAAAUAUGAAUAGGGAAUGGCGGUUCGAAGUUACAAUUGUUACAAAUGUGCAUGUGAAUUACUGAUAAAUAAGCUUUGUUACUGUUUAAAAAGUUUAAAUAAAGUGUAAGUGAGUAA